rnacentral:rRNA from 1 species
CCUACGGGGGGCAGCAGUGGGGAAUAUUGGACAAUGGGGGGAACCCUGAUCCAGCCAUGCCGCGUGUGUGAAGAAGGCCCUCGGGUUGUAAAGCACUUUCAGUGAGGAAGAACGCCUGGUGGUUAAUACCCAUCAGGAAAGACAUCACUCACAGAAGAAGCACCGGCUAACUCCGUGCCAGCAGCCGCGGUAAUACGGAAGGUGCGAGCGUUAAUCGGAAUUACUGGGCGUAAAGCGCGCGUAGGUGGCUUGAUAAGCCGGUUGUGAAAGCCCCGGGCUCAACCUGGGAACGGCAUCCGGAACUGUCAAGCUAGAGUGCAGGAGAGGAAGGUAGAAUUCCCGGUGUAGCGGUGAAAUGCGUAGAGAUCGGGAGGAAUACCAGUGGCGAAGGCGGCCUUCUGGACUGACACUGACACUGAGGUGCGAAAGCGUGGGUAGCAAACAGGAUUAGAUACCCGAGUAGUC